GCCCGCUGCUGCCACCGGGCCGCCUCGCCCCCGCGCCAGCCCGCCUGGGCCUCUGCGCCGCCGGCGGCUUCUUAAAUACAGGAAAGGGAGGGGACCGCAGGGCCCCGGUGUUCCCCACCCUAGUCCCCCUUCACCACGGGCCACCGGGCGCCAGCGGAGUGGGCAGCGAGCGCGACCGAAAGUUCCAACUCCACCAAACUCCCGCGCGCGGCCCACCCUUUCCCGGGAUUUCGGGGAUGACACGGGGGCCAGUGGUCCUGUCUGGUGUGAACCGUCAGCACAGAUGGCCUCCUGGAGCUUCCCCGAGUCGUUCGCUGGGGGAAGCGGGCGGUGAGCGGCCAGCCCGGGCGCUCCGCAGGCCGCGAGCUCCCGGCAGGGCUGGUGGCGGGGGUCCGCCUGGGGGAGGAAUCCCCGCCUGCUCCAUCGGACCCGGCCUGGCGCGGCUCGCGGCGCUCGGCGGGCUCCCUUCCAUUCUAGAAUCUUCCCGCUUGCUUCCCAGCCCGCGUUCUUCCGCCUGCCUUUAAUUGUGAUUAAGGAGUUUGGGGAAGUCGCAGAGCUGCAGCGGAAAGGCAGGGGUCUGAGACUACUUUUGAGAAGAGAAACAACGCAAAACGAUCGCUGGAGGGCCAGAGCCCUGGUCGAAGGUGCCCUAGCUUUUAUGACCUGGUUAAUUGUGUCUCCUUUUUAUUUUUAUUUUUUUCCUUACCACUACUACUACUACUACUUUUAUUUUUUUUUAACCGAUACACUUUGGAGAGAAGAAGCAGACACAGGUUCCCACGGCGUCUGACGCCUGCGGAGCAAGUCCAGAGCCAGCUGGACUCGCAGCCUCUGGCCCGGCGGCACCAACUCCUCACUGGGUCAUUUUGAGCGCGCUGUGCCCACCUUUUCUGUUGCGUGUGGACGUGGGGAGGAUCUUCUAAGUCCCUCCAACGAAGGCAAGUGUGAGACUCUGGCCCUUUAUUUGUAAGAAGCAAGCCUUCAGAUUGCAGAAGUGUCGCGCGGGUCGCCGUGCGUUGCGCGAGUGGGAAGAUGGAGGAGGCCGGCACGCUGCUUUCGUGGACGCAAGUGAACCGGGCGUGAAGGCAGGGUGCGAGCUCUGCCCUUGGCCCAGCCCUGCGUGGGCGCCGUCCCAGAUUCCGGGCGGUGCGGGGUGCAGAGAUCUGGAGAGACUUGCGGGCUCCCCAGCGCAGGCUGCUCUGGGAUUUCGUUGGAAGAUCCGGCAGAGCCUUGGAGGAGAGGGCCCGGGAGGCUGUGUGUGCAGCGGAAACUUGUACGAAUGCCCCCACAGCGGAAAUGGUGCGCACGAGUAAUUUCUGCGGUGCACCCUUUUAAAAAUUGACAAGUGAACAAGAUCAAUUUUUUAAGAAAGCAAAGGUAGAAAACAAAAGGCGUGCGACUUCUUGACUGGCUUGUUCCCGCCUUUCUUCCUUCUCUAUACUCAGAUCAGAAACUUUUCUUUAAUUGCUCUUAUUCAGUGCGACAACUUUUAAUAAAAGCAUUUGCAUUUUAAGCCUGAGUUGCAACCAUAGAUUUAUUGCGAAGUGACAACGUGUCUAUGGAAUAUUUUCGCAGAUGAGACAGGACAUGCGCUCUAGUCGUGCCCAGAUUAAAGCGACGCUGGGCCAUGUGCCUGUGUAGUGCAGACUCGGAGGGGCACACACAUACUCGUCACCACAUGACCACUGUCUAUUAAUAUUGUCAUACCUAAACAC
rnacentral:lncRNA from 1 species